rnacentral:rRNA from 1 species
GAACGCUGGCGGCAGGCCUAACACAUGCAAGUCGAACGGUAACAUUUCUAGCUUGCUAGAAGAUGACGAGUGGCGGACGGGUGAGUAAUGCUUGGGAACUUGCCUUUGCGAGGGGGAUAACAGUUGGAAACGACUGCUAAUACCGCAUAAUGUCUUCGGACCAAACGGGGCUUAGGCUCCGGCGCAAAGAGAGGCCCAAGUGAGAUUAGCUAGUUGGUAAGGUAACGGCUUACCAAGGCGACGAUCUCUAGCUGUUCUGAGAGGAAGAUCAGCCACACUGGGACUGAGACACGGCCCAGACUCCUACGGGAGGCAGCAGUGGGGAAUAUUGCACAAUGGGGGAAACCCUGAUGCAGCCAUGCCGCGUGUGUGAAGAAGGCCUUCGGGUUGUAAAGCACUUUCAGUUGUGAGGAAAAGUUAGUAGUUAAUACCUGCUAGCCGUGACGUUAACAACAGAAGAAGCACCGGCUAACUCCGUGCCAGCAGCCGCGGUAAUACGGAGGGUGCGAGCGUUAAUCGGAAUUACUGGGCGUAAAGCGCACGCAGGCGGUUUGUUAAGCUAGAUGUGAAAGCCCCGGGCUCAACCUGGGAUGGUCAUUUAGAACUGGCAGACUAGAGUCUUGGAGAGGGGAGUGGAAUUCCAGGUGU